rfam:Canis lupus familiaris chromosome 14, whole genome shotgun sequence.
ACCUGGCUGGCUCAGUUGGUAGAGCAUGUGACUCUUGAUCUUGGGGUUGUGAGUUCAAGCCCCAUGUUGGGUA